AUUGAACGCUGGCGGCAGGCUUAACACAUGCAAGUCGAGCGGUAACAGAGAGAAGCUUGCUUCUCUGCUGACGAGCGGCGGACGGGUGAGUAAUGCCUAGGAAUCUGCCUAGUAGUGGGGGAUAACUUGCCGAAAGGUAAGCUAAUACCGCAUACGUCCUACGGGAGAAAGGAGGGGACCUUCGGGCCUUUCGCUAUUAGAUGAGCCUAGGUCGGAUUAGUUAGUUGGUGAGGUAAUGGCUCACCAAGACCGCGAUCCGUAACUGGUCUGAGAGGAUGAUCAGUCACACUGGAACUUAGACACGGUCCAGACUCCUACGGGAGGCAGCAGUGGGGAAUAUUGGACAAUGGGGGGAACCCUGAUUCAGCCAUGCCGCGUGUGUGAAGAAGGUCUUAGGAUUGUAAAGCACUUUAAGUUGGGAGGAAGAGCAGUUAACUAAUAUUUGACUGUUUUGACGUUACCGACAGAAUAAGCACCGGCUAACUUCGUGCCAGCCGCCGCGGUAA
rnacentral:rRNA from 1 species